rnacentral:misc_RNA from 1 species
GUCAAUUAUUAAUAUAUGCAAACAGUCUAAGGAGUGGUUGAGUUUCUGUUUGGGACGACAAACAAACAAAGACCACUAUUAUUUGGGUGCAAUAUCAAGUUCAAAAUUUUUAAAAGAAGAAGAUGGCUAACAAGCAUGCUCCUAAUGCCAUUCACAAAUUUAACCAUUCAAAGAAGUAUAUCAAUUCCCACAGCAAUGCACCUAAGAUUGACUUUAAAACAUUAGAACAAUCACCUUAAGU